CAGUUGAAGAUCAACACAAACCAAAUAAAGAUGCGCAUUCUACAAACAAUAAAAAAAGAUCAAGUUUUGUGUCCAACACACUUGGAUGAGACGUGCCCGACCCCUGACUUUGUCUACCCUACAUUAAGUUGCACACUUCAUGACAGUAAACAUUGGUAUCAAGAUGGUGUGAUUGAUCUAUACCCUAGAAUAAGCUGUGACACUAUGAGACGUACGUGCUACUGAUACUUUUGUUAUUUUUUUGGUGCAUUCCCACAUUAUACAAACA